rnacentral:rRNA from 1 species
UACGUAGGGUGCAAGCGUUAAUCGGAAUUACUGGGCAUAAAACGUGCGCAGGCGGUUAUGCAAGACAGAUGUGAAAUCCCCGGGCUUAACCUGGGAACCGCAUUUGUGACUGCAUAGCUGGAGUACGGCAGAGGGGGAUGGAAUUCCGCGUGUAGCAGUGAAAUGCGUAGAUAUGCGGAGGAACACCGAUGGCGAAGGCAGUCCCCUGGGCCUGUACUGACGCUCAUGCACGAAAGCGUGGGGAGCAAACAGG